rnacentral:ncRNA from 1 species
CCUGCUGAAUUCAAGCAUAUUAUUAAGGGGGGGAAGAGAAAAUAACAAUAAUUCCCGUAGUAACGGCGAGUGGAGCGGGG